UUUACGGGAGAGAUCCCUUCCACGCCUCUACGGCCAGGGGACUGGGUCCUAUUGAAGGAAAUGCAUCCAUCAAAUUACAGCCCCGAUGGCAAGGCCUAUAUUAGGCCUAUAUCACUCCUAUGGCCACUAAACUGCAUGGCCACCCCACAGGGUUCCACUUUUCUAGGUUAAAACAGGUCCCGGAACACCAUCACCACAGACCCCCCUGACAUUGAAAUCCCCAAGAUACUACAACCACCAAGUCGGACCCACGAAACUUCAACUCACCUGCAUUCCAGAGGAAGAAGACAAAUGAGACCAUUUCCAAGCUUUCACCAACCAUCCAUCUGGAACCAGAACCUCACCCAGACAGGAGGGGACCAAUACCUCACAGGGGCUGACUA